rnacentral:rRNA from 1 species
GGUGAACGCUGGCGGCGUGCCUAAUACAUGCAAGUCGAGCGGACAGACGAGGAGCUUGCUCCUCUGACGUUAGCGGCGGACGGGUGAGUAACACGUGGAUAACCUACCUAUAAGACUGGGAUAACUUCGGGAAACCGGAGCUAAUACCGGAUAAUAUAUUGAACCGCAUGGUCCAAUAGUGAAAGACGGUUUUGCUGUCACUUAUAGAUGGAUCCGCGCCGCAUUAGCUAGUUGGUAAGGUAACGGCUUACCAAGGCAACGAUGCGUAGCCGACCUGAGAGGGUGAUCGGCCACACUGGAACUGAGACACGGUCCAGACUCCUACGGGAGGCAGCAGUAGGGAAUCUUCCGCAAUGGGCGAAAGCCUGACGGAGCAACGCCGCGUGAGUGAUGAAGGUCUUCGGAUCGUAAAACUCUGUUAUUAGGGAAGAACAAAUGUGUAAGUAACUAUGCACGUCUUGACGGUACCUAAUCAGAAAGCCACGGCUAACUACGUGCCAGCAGCCGCAGUAA